GACGAACGCUGGCGGCGUGCCUAAUACAUGCAAGUCGAGCGAAGAGGCGGAUGGGUGAGUAACGCGUGGGUAACCUGCACUUAAGUCUGGGAUACCAUUUGGACACAGAUGCUAAUCCCGGAUACUCACGGAUUGCACUGCGAUGCAUUAGCUCGUUGGUAAGGUCACGGCUUACAAAGUCGAUGAUGCAUAGCCGGUUUGAGAGACUGAGCGGCCACAUUGGGACUGAGACACGGCCCAAACUCCUACGGGAGGCAGCAGUAGGGAAUCUUCCACAAUGGACGAAAGUCUGAUGGAGCAACGCCGCGUGAGUGAAGAAGGUUUUCGGAUCGUAAAGCUCUGUUGUUGGUGAAGCGGUAAUCAACCAGAAAGUCACGGCUAACUACGUGCCAGCAGCCGCGGUAAUAC
rnacentral:rRNA from 1 species